rnacentral:rRNA from 1 species
GACGAACCGUGCGAACGUUAUUCGGAAUCACUGGGCUUAAAGCGCGUGUAGGCGGGCCGCCGCGUCGGCUGCUGAAAUCCCCGGGCUCAACCUGGGAACUGCGUUUGUGACUGUAUGACUAGAGUACGGUAGAGAGGGGUGGAAUUCCUGGUGUAGCAGUGAAAUGCGUAGAUAUCAGGAGGAACAUCGAUGGCGAAGGCAGCCCCUUGGACCUGUACUGACGCUCAUGCACGAAAGCGUGGGGAGCAAACAGG